CUUUUUAAAAAGAUAAUAAUCACUAAAAAUGGAACAAUACAGAGAAGAUUAGCAUGGCCCCUGCACAAGGAUAACAUGCAAAUUUGUGAAGCGUUCCAUAUUUUU
ensembl:snRNA U6 U6 spliceosomal RNA